ACAAACCUGUCGCUGUCUCCUCCCCCACAAGUGGGUCUGAGGGCCGUCCACAUACUUUUGGCCACAUGCCAGCAGCUUCUGCAGCUGGACAGGUGAAAGGUGUCAGGUGACCACCCGGACCAGUUUUCACCACUGCAGAGUCCCAGUUCAUCAGGUGAUCACUGUGUGUUGAUCAGUUUCUGGGAUGAAGUCAGACACGGCAGGUUUGAUGCUGAAUCAAGCUUUAUUCAAAAUGACCAUGCAGCAC